UACGGAGGAUGCAAGCGUUAUCCGGAUUUAUUGGGUUUAAAGGGUGCGUAGGCGGAAUAAUAAGUCAGUGGUGAAAUCUUGCGGCUCAACCGUAAAAUUGCCUCUGAUACUGUUAUUCUUGAGUGCAGUUGAGGUAGGCGGAAUGUGUAAUGUAGCGGUGAAAUGCAUAGAUAUUACACAGAACACCAAUUGCGAAGGCAGCUUACUAAACUGUAACUGACGCUGAGGCACGAAAGCGUGGGGAGCAAACAGGAUUAGAUACCCCCGUA
rnacentral:rRNA from 1 species